CCUACGGGAGGCUGCAGUGGGGAAUAUUGGGCAAUGGGCGCAAGCCUGACCCAGCAACGCCGCGUGAAGGAAGAAGGCUUUCGGGUUGUAAACUUCUUUUCUCAGGGACGAAGCAAGUGACGGUACCUGAGGAAUAAGCCACGGCUAACUACGUGCCAGCAGCCGCGGUAAUACGUAGGUGGCAAGCGUUAUCCGGAUUUACUGGGUGUAAAGGGCGGGUAGGCGGGGACGGAAGUCAGAUGUGAAAACCACGGGCUCAACCUGGGGCCUGCAUUUGAAACUGUGUUUCUUGAGUACUGGAGAGGCAGACGGAAUGCCUAGUGUAGCGGUGAAAUGCGUAGAUAUUAGGAGGAACACCAGUGGCGAAGGCAGUCUACUGGACAGCAACUGACGCUGAGGCGCGAAAGCGUGGGGAGCAAACAGGAUUAGAUACCCCUGUAGUC
rnacentral:rRNA from 1 species